AUUGAACGCUGGCGGCAGGCCUAACACAUGCAAGUCGAGCGGUAACACAGGGAGCUUGCUCCCGGGUGACGAGCGGCGGACGGGUGAGUAAUGUCUGGGAAACUGCCUAAUGGAGGGGGAUAACUACUGGAAACGGUAGCUAAUACCGCAUAACGUCGCAAGACCAAAGAGGGGGACCUUCGGGCCUCUUGCCAUCAGAUGUGCCCAGAUGGGAUUAGCUAGUAGGUGGGGUAACGGCUCACCUAGGCGACGAUCCCUAGCUGGUCUGAGAGGAUGACCAGCCACACUGGAACUGAGACACGGUCCAGACUCCUACGGGAGGCAGCAGUGGGGAAUAUUGCACAAUGGGCGCAAGCCUGAUGCAGCCAUGCCGCGUGUAUGAAGAAGGCCUUCGGGUUGUAAAGUACUUUCAGCGGGGAGGAAGGUGCUGAGGUUAAUAACCUCAGCAAUUGACGUUACCCGCAGAAGAAGCACCGGCUAACUACGUGCCAGCAGCCGCGGUAACAC
rnacentral:rRNA from 1 species